UGCCACUCGAGUAUCCCAGUCAACUUACAGAAGAGUGUUCCAAGAGUCAGAAGAUAUAGAAAAUAUACCUUCCUGUUCCUUUACCAGUCCAAGGAAAAAAAGGUUAAGAAAAUCUCAGAAGAUUGGUAACAUUACUUUGACCCAAAUUAAAGAUAUAAAACAAAUAGUAUAUGAUUUCUACAUAGUUAAAAAAAGAAGACCUACUCUAAAGGUAAUACUUCAAAAGCUUCUUGAUCGGGCUAUUAUUCAAGAGCCUAUAGGUAUACCAACCUUAUCAAAAUUACUGAAAAAAAUUGGAUUUAGAUGGACCAAAACGGAAGAUAACAGAAAAGCUCUUAUGGAAUCUUACGACAUACAUGAUUGAAAAGGAUCAAAUAUUUAAAGCAAAUUUUAAAAUAUAAAGAGGAAGGCAAUAAUAUUGUAUAUACUAAUGAAAGUUACAUACAUACCAGUCAUACAAAGGACAAAGGGUGGUUUUAUGAAAGUCGACAUGGAAUUAGAAAACCCAUUUCCAAAGGACAGAGACUGAUAAUUUGCUCAGGGUCAAAAAGCGGAGACUAUCAUGAUGACAUGAACCAUCACAACUUCAUGAAAUGGGCCGAAAAUCAGUUAAUUCCAAAUUUACUACCUAAAAAGUAGGAAAUAGUUGACUGGCUCAAGGAACGUAAUUUUACAUUUGAUGCAAAACUCACCAAGACAGAGUUAUAUGAAAUAGUGUCUGAAAAUAAAAAAAAGUAUUCUAUAAAAACCAAGUUGGACGACCUAAUGGAAAAGCAUGGACACAUUGUGUUACGUUUGCCUCCAUACCUCCCAGAGCUUAAUCCGAUAGAAAAAAUUUGGGCAACUGUUAAGAAUUGGGUGGCAAGCAGAAAUUCCACUUUUAAAUUGGCGGAUGUCAAAACUUUGACAAGGCAGAAAUUUGCGGAAAUUUCGAAUGAUGAGUGGAUAAAUAUUUGCAACCAUAUAGACAAUAUAGAAAAACAAUAUUUGGAAAGUCAUCACCUUUUUGAUGAAGCAUUGGAUUCUUUAAAAUUUUUUUCAGUAAAUACAGGCUCAUCUAAUGAAGAGAUCGA